rnacentral:rRNA from 1 species
GAGGGGCAGCGGGGUAGUGCUUGCACUACUGCCGGCGACCGGCGCACGGGUGAGUAACACGUAUGGAACCUGCCCGCAGCAGGGGGAUAAGCGGAAGAAAUUCCGUCUAAUACCGCGUAACAACGUUGGGAGGCAUCUCCCGAUGUUUAAAGAUUUAUCGGCUGCGGAUGGCCAUGCGGCGCAUUAGCUAGUCGGCGGGGUAACGGCCCACCGAGGCGACGAUGCGUAGGGGUUCUGAGAGGAAGGUCCCCCACACUGGUACUGAGACACGGACCAGACUCCUACGGGAGGCAGCAGUGAGGAAUAUUGGUCAAUGGCCGAGAGGCUGAACCAGCCAAGUCGCGUGAGGGAAGACGGCCCUACGGGUUGUAAACCUCUUUUGUCGGGGAGCAAAGCGAACCACGUGUGGUUCAUUGAGAGUACCCGAAGAAAAAGCAUCGGCUAACUCCGUGCCAGCAGCCGCGGUAAUACGGAGGAUGCGAGCGUUAUCCGGAUUUAUUGGGUUUAAAGGGUGCGCAGGCGGAGGUGCAAGUCAGCGGUCAAAUUGCGGGGCUCAACCCCGUACUGCCGUUGAAACUGCAUCCCUUGAGUGCGCGAGAAGUAUGCGGAAUGCGUGGUGUAGCGGUGAAAUGCAUAGAUAUCACGCAGAACUCCGAUUGCGAAGGCAGCAUACCGGCGCGCAACUGACGCUCAUGCACGAAAGCGUGGGUAUCGAACAGGAUUAGAUACCCUGGUAGUCCACGCAGUAAACGAUGAACACUAACUGUUCGGCCAGAAUGAUGGCUGAGUGGUACAGCGAAAGCGUUAAGUGUUCCACCUGGGGAGUACGCCGGCAACGGUGAAACUCAAAGGAAUUGACGGGGGCCCGCACAAGCGGAGGAACAUGUGGUUUAAUUCGAUGAUACGCGAGGAACCUUACCCGGGCUCAAACGACACAGGAAUACUUUUGAAAGGAGGUAGCCCUACGGGGUCUGUGUCGAGGUGCUGCAUGGUUGUCGUCAGCUCGUGCCGUGAGGUGUCGGCUUAAGUGCCAUAACGAGCGCAACCCCUAUCGCCAGUUACCAUCAAGUAAAGUUGGGGACUCUGGCGAGACUGCCGGCGCAAGCUGAGAGGAAGGCGGGGAUGACGUCAAAUCAGCACGGCCCUUACGUCCGGGGCGACACACGUGUUACAAUGGCAGGUACAGAGAGAAGCCAGGUGGCGACACCGCGCGGAACUCGAAAGCCUGUCUCAGUUCGGAUCGGAGUCUGCAACCCGACUCCGUGAAGCUGGAUUCGCUAGUAAUC